rnacentral:rRNA from 1 species
CCUACGGGUGGCAGCAGUGGGGAAUAUUGCACAAUGGGGGAAACCCUGAUGCAGCGACGCCGCGUGAGUGAGGAAGUAUUUCGGUAUGUAAAGCUCUAUCAGCAGGGAAGAAAAUGACGGUACCUGACUAAGAAGCCCCGGCUAACUACGUGCCAGCAGCCGCGGGAAUACGGAGGGGGCAAGCGUUAUCCGGAUUUACUGGGUGUAAAGGGAGCGUAGACGGUUAAUCAAGUCAGAAGUGAAAACCCAGGGCUCAAACUUGGGACUGCUUUUGAAACUGGGUAGCUAGAGUGCAGGAGAGGUAAGCGGAAUGCGUAGUGUAGCGGUGAAAUGCGUAGAUAUUGGGAAGAACCCCGGUGGCGAAGGCAGCUUACUGGACUGUAACUGACGUUGAGGCACGAAAGCGUGGGGAGCGAACAGGAUUAGAUACCCUUGUAGUC